CACACGUUUAAAAGCUGAAGCGAGGUCACUUCCUCUGCAAAACCCCAAGACAGAGACGCCCAUCGUACUGGUUUUUCAGGCAAAAUGAAGCUUGUUCUUCUCCAAACACUCUGCUUCGCUAUUCUAUGGGUCGGCGUGGCCCCCAACCACAGGGGUGACAUAAUGUAUGGGCUUUCCCAGGCUGAAGCCCAGGGGCCUCCGCUAAAAAGCAGCCUCACCAAGGGGCUCCAGUUGGCAACUUCUACUGUCGCCACCCCACCCCCCGCGGAUGACAACAUUUACCUUGGUGGGGGCCCUGAAAACCCCCAACCCUGCAUGACUACCAGGAACAACAAUGCCUACAACAUCUUCCUGGCAAAGCAUGUCCGCAAUGACACCCCAAUCAACGAGGACAUGGCAGCAUGGAAGAGGUUUUUUUCACAUAACCAAAACCUGUGCAACAGGCCGACACAGUCAUUCCUCCGGUACAACGAUAAAAGCCUGAUCAACAAUGUCUGUACAUCAAAUGGAGGGAAGAUUUAUGAGAGAAACCUGUGCAUCAGCAACCGCACGUUCUCCUUCAUAACAGUGAGGAUAAAGCAGGGCUGUGAAAUCAGUAGCAUCACCAGAGAGACCAACCACAUCAUCCUGGCGUGUGACAAAAUCGACAAUGUUUGCAGGCCGGUUCACUUUGAGGGAAACCAAAAUAACCUAAAGCCAAAUCCUAAGGCUCCAGGCUGUCAAUACCACUAGCCUGUUUCAAGUGCCGAAAUGUCCACAGUCACAGCAGCCUUGCUUAUAGCAUCGAGAAUAUUUCAUGCAAAGUUUUUAUCAGUAUAGACGCUUUAUGCUCCUAUUUAGAAAAUGCAUGCCUAAUAUGUUAAGAAUAAUGUUCAAAUUGCAGAAAGUAACGCAUCUGUGGAAUGAUACAGAAAAAUGCUAUGUUAUGCCAGAUGGAUCCUGCGCUCUGAAAAAGCACGUUCCGAAGUACCUGUUCUUGUACUUGUACAAAUGGAAAAUAAAGCUUCAUUUCAUUGCA